rnacentral:rRNA from 1 species
ACGGGUGAGUAACACGUGAGCAACCUGCCUUGGAGAGAGGGAUAGCUUCUGGAAACGGAUGGUAAUACCUCAUAACAUACAUGGACCGCAUGAUCUGUGUAUCAAAGAUUUAUCACUCUGAGAUGGGCUCGCGUCUGAUUAGCUAGAUGGUGAGGUAACGGCUCACCAUGGCGACGAUCAGUAGCCGGACUGAGAGGUUGAACGGCCACAUUGGGACUGAGACAGGCCCAGACUCCUACGGGAGGCAGCAGUGGGGAAUAUUGCACAAUGGGGGAAACCCUGAUGCAGCGAUGCCGCGUGGAGGAAGAAGGUUUUCGGAUUGUAAACUCCUGUCUUAAAGGACGAUAAUGACGGUACUUUAGGAGGAAGCUCCGGCUAACUACGUGCCAGCAGCAGC